UCCCUGGUGGUCCAGUGGCUAGGACUCAGCACUUUCACUGCUGUGAUCCAGGUUCAAUCCCUGGACAGGGAA